rnacentral:rRNA from 1 species
UACGUAGGGCGCGAGCGUUGUCCGGAUUUAUUGGGCGUAAAGAGCUCGUAGGCGGCUUGUUGCGUCGGCUGUGAAAACCCAUGGCUCAACCGUGGGCUUGCAGCCGAUACGGGCAGGCUAGAGUUCGGUAGGGGAGACUGGAAUUCCUGGUGUAGCGGUGAAAUGCGCAGAUAUCAGGAGGAACACCGGUGGCGAAGGCGGCAUCCUGGACCAACACUGACACUGAGGAGCGAAAGCCAGGGGAGCAAACGGG